AAAAGAAAGGACAGCUCCUUCAAAUUUCAUUUGCAGGUGGACGUGGAGGAGGAGUGAAAAUAGGCGGAAGACUCUCACUCGGUGACAAAACCGAGAGCGACGGAGACAGAGACACAGAUACACGUUGAACUGGGCAGUCCAGCUCUGUAAGGGAGUGCUCCAACUCUUCCAGUCACCGAUCAUGCCAUGGAAGUGAUAGAAGACGCUCCACUUCUCGUUUUCAAUCGCCAAGUUCAAACUGCAGGCAAGAAAUGCUACCAGUACUCCCUGCCUUCCAGCAUGCUCAGAAUAAUUGGCACAAUGGAAUCCUACUCCUCAGAAAGCAAGCAGGCAAAUCCCCCUUUAGACGAGGAUGUCAUCCA